rnacentral:pre_miRNA from 11 species
AGAGCCUCCACUCCGUCUGCCCAGUGUUCGGACUACCUGUUCAGGACUACGAGAUUGUACAGUAGUCUGCACAUUGGUUAGGCUGUGCUGGGAUAUACC